GAGAGCAUCACCCAACAACCACAUCCCUCCUCUAGAGAAUCCCCUGAGAGCUCAGCUCCUCACCAUGGACUGGACCUGGAGGAUCCUCUUCUUGGUGGCAGCAGCCACAGGUGCCCACUCUGAGAUGCAGCUGGUGCAGUCUGAGGCUGAGGUGAAGAAGCCUGGGGCCUCAGUGAAGGUUUCCUGCAAGGCUUCCGGAUACACCUUCACCUACCGCUACUUGCACUGGGUGCGACAGACCCCUGGACAAGGGCUUGAGUGGAUGGGAUGGAUCACACCUUACAAUGGUAACACCAACUAUGCACAGAAGUUCCAGGGCAGAGUCACCAUUACCAGGGACAGGUCUAUGAGCACAGCCUACAUGGAGCUGAGCAGCCUGAGAUCUGAGGACACGGCCGUGUAUUACUGUGCAAGAUACACAGUGUGAAAACCCACAUCCUGAGACUGUCAGAAACCCCAAGGAGGAGGCAGCUGCACUG